GAUGAACGCUGACAGAAUGCUUAACACAUGCAAGUCUUUGGCGAAGCUGUGCUUGCACAGCCUAGCCAAGGCGGACGGGUGAGUAACGCGUAAGGAACUUGCCCUGCAGUCAGGGAUAACAGACGGAAACGACUGAUAAGACCUGGUAAAGUCAGGCGGACUCAUGUCCAGCCUGAUGAAAAGUGAUGCUGCAGGAGAGCCUUGCGUCCUAUUAGCUUGUUGGUGGGGUAACGGCCCACCAAGGCGAUGAUAGGUAGCCGGCCUGAGAGGGUGGACGGCCACAAGGGGACUGAGAUACGGCCCUUACUCCUACGGGAGGCAGCAGUGGGGAAUAUUGGACAAUGGGGGCAACACUGAUCCAGCAAUUCUGUGUGCACGAUGAAGGUUUUCGGAUUGUAAAGUGCUUUCAGCAGGGAAGAAAAAAAUGACGGUACCUGCAGAAGAAGCGACGGCUAAAUACGUG
rnacentral:rRNA from 1 species